ACCCUUUAAUGGCUGGUGUUCUAACGUAGACCCGUAAUCCGGGUUGCGGACAGUGUCUGGUGGGUAGUUUGACUGGGGCGGUCUCCUCCUAAAGAGUAACGGAGGAGCACGAAGGUUAGCUAAUCCUGGUCGGACAUCAGGAGGUUAGUGCAAAGGCAUAAGCUAGCUUGACUGCGAGAGUGACGGCUCGAGCAGGUGCGAAAGCAGGUCUUAGUGAUCCGGUGGUUCUGAAUGGAAGGGCCAUCGCUCAACGGAUAAAAGGUACUCCGGGGAUAACAGGCUGAUACCGCCCAAGAGUUCAUAUCGACGGCGGUGUUUGGCACCUCGAUGUCGGCUCAUCACAUCCUGGGGCUGAAGUAGGUCCCAAGGGUAUGGCUGUUCGCCAUUUAAAGUGGUACGCGAGCUGGGUUUAGAACGUCGUGAGACAGUUCGGUCCCUAUCUGCCGUGGGCGCUGGAGAAUUGAGGGGGGCUGCUCCUAGUACGAGAGGACCGGAGUGGACGCAUCACUGGUGUUCGGGUUGUCAUGCCAAUGGCAUUGCCCGGUAGCUAAAUGCGGAAGAGAUAAGUGCUGAAAGCAUCUAAGCACGAAACUUGCCCCG
rnacentral:rRNA from 1 species